rnacentral:lncRNA from 1 species
GAGUUUAUGUCCACAUAUGAUAUAUGUCAUCUACAUAUGAAUAUAUCCAAUUGGAUAUAUGUUGGAUCAGUGCUCAUGAUAAAUUCACCGCUAAAGUCUUGUUUGUAUAAUCCCUCACACAAGAGGUUGAAGGAGAUUUGUAGGAGAUUAAUUCUACACCUCCCCUCCAAUCUCUCUCUUGGGGGAUGAAUCGCACAAGACCUAAGUCCUAAGGGUGACAUUUCUUUCAAUCACUCUAUAUACCUAUACAUAUAUAGUGUGCAUGUGUAUGUGGCCUAGGCCCAAAAGUUUACCUCACUAGUGCCCCGUUAUGUUUCUCUCAGUGCUGUAUACAUUUAUGUGUUGUGCUACAUUCGCUACAUAUGUACGUGGUUUAUAUAUGAUUAUUAUAUAUAAAUAAAAGACUACUGUGAUGUAUUGUGCUUAAAUGCACGAAAGCC